rnacentral:lncRNA from 1 species
CGGAUGAGUGUUUUAUUGGUGGCGGGAUGUGUACGUGCUGAUCAGACAAACAUGCACAUUCAUAUGUACGUGUUGGAUGCCGAUAUUAUGGCUGUGUAGCGGAUAACUGACACGGAAAUUGAUAGCGAGAUCGGACAAUAUGUACAUAAGAUUAUAUGUAAAUAUGGAUAAGUGGUCACUCGGACUUAAAGGAACGCCAAUCGCGGAAGGAUUCGAUUAGCGGGAAACUAUGAGCUUUCUUAUCUGCAGUUUUCCCUGGAAUCCACCGAUGCUUGCUGGGACAAUCUCGAUUCAGCAAGAAUCCGGCUCGAAGGACCAAUGUUCGUAGUAGGUCGACUUCCUGUCGCUGCAGAUAAACUCCUCGGAAAGUCCAAGUGUCCCGAAAUGAAGAGGCACAGUUUAUUCGAUAUUAUGUAUGUACAGGCGGUUUAUUAAGCACUCGAACGGCGCGGGUGUAAAAUUGUUGGUAUGAAAUCGGAAGUGUGUAUGUAGAGUAUAACUUAGUAUGUCGACUCGCUUCUACCGGAAUGUACGGGGGUGAGUAGUGUAGUGCGCUUGUUCAUAG